CCCGCCUCGCGCAGCCACUCGCCCGCGCCUCACGCAGCGGCCGCCGUCCGCACCGGCCUGACAAGCAGGACAAGGGCACCGGACAAGGAGAGGACAGGGGUGACGGCUUCAUGGCCGUACCAGGGUAGGAGUCUUCCCUCACCUCCAUUCCCUACCCGUGUAGUUGCAGGAGAAGAUGUACGACAAGGAGAUCACGGUUGCCGACCGCGAGAUGGUAGAGGAGUGUGCGGACCAGAUGCUGAGCGAGGCCACAAACGCCGGCGUUGCCUUCCUCGUUGUCGGCGACCCGUUUGGAGACUUUGGUAUGUACAACGGCGAACAGUUCAUGGCCAGAAGAUGUGGGGUCAUGCUUACGCGUCGGCGCCGGUGAGGGUGGACCUGUGAGGCGGACCACCUCCACGCGGCCACAACGGCCACCUCUGCGGCCGCCGUUGUGGCGAGAGCAGCCGCCGUUGUGGCAAGCGCGACCGCCACCGCGUGCUUGCUCUGCUCUUCCUCUGCCCGCCUUAUCUGAAUCUGAUCCGUCGUCGGCUCCGGCUCCGGAGCUCGCAGGGCAAACGAGUGCUGGGUCUCGAGCUUCCCCACCAGCCAUCUCUUGCUCUUCACCUUCUGAAAAUGAACGGAAAAUCUUGUACCAUUGAAUCACCUGUACCUGUAGUUGGUUUGGUCCAUCAUCGGUCUCAAAAAAGUACAUUGUUAAUUACUGCCGAGCAAGCUUGUGUGAUGUUGCGAGGCGGAGUGUUUAACUGUUAAGUGGUUGAUGCCAAUGAUGUCUUACUUGAAAUCUAUUUAACACCGCAGGAAAGGACUUCACAAUAUGAUGGGAGCAACCUGCAUUUUUGAAAUGUACUGGACUAAUUUCAUCACAAAUAACUAGGUGGAAUGGAUUAUUGAUCGAUGAAUCGAUCACAACUGCUAAAAGGAGGAAUCACGCGUGGGUCAUGGAUGAUGGAUCUUGGACUACGAGAUGAGAACAAAAGUGAUUCGUCGGAGUAAUAUAAGCGAACCCAGAAAUGUUUCGUUUCCUCUCUUCACAUGUCGAAGCUCCGAGCAUAAUGAAUUUAUUAUUAGUAGCACCGUGACCUUCAAAUCAUGUGUUAUAUGAAACCACUCUUGUGUUUGCCCCCUCUUCCAAAUUGAAUCUGGUUUUAACAGUAUAUCAUUACUAUUUUACCUACUUGAUGCUUAAUGCGUGCAUUUCUCAAA